GCUGACUAUGACUCAGGAACACAUGGGCCCACAUCCACACUCACAGGAUCCUGGCUUCCUCAGGACCCCCUGGAGGACUCUGGAGGUGCCGUUGGGGGCCACGUCCACAUCAGAAGGGACUACUCAGAACCACAGGGACCCCCUGGAGGACUCUGGAUGCGCCGUUGGGGGCCACGUCCAUAUCAGAACGGACUCCUCUGAACCACAGGGGGCCUGGGAUGGAUGGACCUGUUCGAACCCUGAACUUAAAGAGGAAAGACCUUCAUUUUCUUGGCCUCCUUGCGUCCCCUCCCAUCCUAUCUAGCUCUUUCCCCCUUCCCCAGAGCUCCUAAGAGAGCAAUUGCAAAAGACCUCAGCUUGGCAGGGUCUGUUGGGGGACAGGCCCAGGGAUUUGGGAUCAGGAAGACCUGAGGCACGGGCUUCCCAGCUGUGCAGCGGGAUUCCAUGCUGCAGACUCUUAUUCCCUAAGGCUAUCUUCACAACUGACUUUAUACAUAGAAAAGCUCUCCUUUAUCUUUAAAAGAUGAAGAGCCAGUCAAAGCCUUUUUUCUCUGCCCAUCUGAUUGCUCAGAUUCCAAUGUGAGACGUAUUUCCUGUUAAUAAGGAUAAUUUACUAUCCGUAGUACUAUGGUUAAAAUAUUCUGACACAAGUAAUUCAGAGGGAUGAGAGUUUCUCAUCUCUUUCUUCACAGCUCAGUCACUCCUCAGGAAAUGCAUCGUUAUGGAUUUGGAAAUAACUGAGAGACAUUAUUACCAGUGGUCCUAUUAUUAUGUGAAGGAUGCUUCCCUGAGAUUCUUCCCCUGUUUCAACUGACACUGAAACACUUUGAACUCUUUGGAAGACAAAUGUCAAGGAAAUAAAUGUUAUGCGCUGCUAAUUUUAAAUGCA
rnacentral:lncRNA from 12 species